rnacentral:lncRNA from 1 species
GGGUUUCGGUGCUGUAUUGUUGAGUUUUGUAUGAACUAAUCUUGCUUCACUAAAAAAGACCUACAGCUUGGACAAAAGUCUAUAGCCUGUGCAUUCCUAGCUCCCCUUACACUAAAGCAGGCUGAGGCAGAGGGGAAGACAUGUUAGUCUUGUGCUCUUCUAGUUGCUAAAGCGCAGAGCUGCCGGGCUGUGGGAGUCAUGAGGCGGCCCUGCUUCACUCAGUAUGGGCUCAGGGGGAGACCACCAUGGAUGUGUCUGCAGGUCUAGGCCCUAAGAGCAGUGCGGGGGAAAGGUAAGCUGACUGCUACUACACAGCUGUUUCUCCUCUUGUAAAGCUACCGUAUGCUGGUCUCUCUCUCCCUCUCUCCCUUUCCAUCUCUUUCUGCCUCUCCCUCUUUCUUUCUUUCUGGAUCUUUGGCCCUGUGAGGAAAUUUGUGCUCAGGUGCAAAUGUAGGUAUGGAGUGUAUGGAACGACUAAAGACGAGCAUGCUGGCUGUUUUGAUUUGGAAUGCAGACGAUCAAUAACCAUACCUCCUGUGUUGGUGCAGGUCUGGGCAGAGUCGGGGGUAGCGAGCAAAGGACCAGCGUUCAGCGAGGAGCAUGAGCGGCAGUACGCUGAAGUAGGAGCACUAGCUCUUGUGAAAAAUCUGCGGACUAGGGGGCUAGUAAAGAGGGAGAGAUGCCCAGAGAGCAUACAGCUGUUUCGGUCGAGCGAGAGCGAGUUCUCCAGCGGCUGAAGAGUGGUUCUUGAAUCGGACAGAUGAUGUUCCAUCCUCUUUUCUGCCAAUCACCCAAAGAUGAGGACAACACCCAAACUGGCACGUAAGUAGCAUUGCAGUCUAGAGUGGUCCGUGGACAGUGGAAAGCAGCAUGCGCGAAUGCAGUGCACAGCAGUGUGAGAGUAUCGCAUUAUGAGCUUCAGUGGUUCGUGGGUUCUUUUUCCAUUGAUGUAUCGGACAUAAUUUAAAGCUUGCUCAACACUCGCAAACAUUAGAUUUUAAGUAGAUGUUCUAUUAUAGUCUAACUAUACAAAGUGUAAGUGUUUUUUGGUUUGUUUCUUUUGUAGGCUACUGGCUUUGUUUUGUUUUUGUAGACUGGUUUAGAAUGUUCCAAUUAUAUUUUUGGGACAUUUUGUUUGAAAUUCUCCUUAUUUCUCAGCAGAAGUAAAGUUUGAUCUUUAGCCUACAAACUAAUCUCAAUAAUUUUCAAGAAUUUUUCAUUUGGAUUUGAACUAUUCUGGCCAAUUUGCUGAGAUUAGGCUGUCAAUCAUAAAUAGGCCUAUUGAAACAGGGUUGGUCCAAAGUAAAUGUUUAAAAUAUAUUUAUACAUUUCUGACUCUAUACCUACAAUACUGAUUUCGAGUUUGGAGUUAAGGAAAAAUAUGCCAAAUUAGAGAAAAAUCAUUAAAAUAAUUGUUUUGCUUAAGCUAAGCAAGUCGAAGAAUAUUAGUUUCAAAAUUGCACUCUUUAACGUCCACUCCCUGGCCCUUUGGUAUUUCAUAGGCUAUAUGUAUUGAGUGCUCAGUAGGUCAUAUUUUCUGUGGUGUACUGCUCUCCAAUCACUGGCACGGCCCCUAGUGGACAAUAAUAUGAAGCUUGGAGAUUCAUAAUUCUAUAUAUUUUCUUACCUGAAGUCUCUCUCUCUUCCGCUCUCUCUCUCGCUGAGAAAAGGAAGGAUCUGUUGAAAAAGUAAACCCAUUUAUUAAAUAAACAUAUUACAUCCAAUUAGCAAUAUCAGGGCUGGUUUGGUUAUGUUGGAUUAUAUUGAGUAAAUAUUGAUUUUUAAGGAGAAAGUGUGAUGGGAGAUUGCGUAAUGAGUUAGGCUAUAGGCCUAAGGGUUAUUAUGGCAGGCUUGGUUUAUUAUCGGGUGAGGUGUCCAAAGGGAGCAAUAGUGACUACAUUUUUGAGAAGGGGAGGCUUUAAAAAAACAAUCUAUAACAAAUUCCCUCUUUAAGACAUUUUCACACUCAAUAUGUUCAAGAGUUGAUAGGGAUGGGCCUGAAUGUAAUGUUUGCUCUUACUAAAAAUGACGAAGUUAAUUUGCCAUGAAUUGCAGUGCUUUUCUUUUUUAGUUUAUACAUAAAUAAAAUACCCUAUACAUUUGUUAUCAUGCCUUUUGCUCCGUCCAGCCUUCAUUACAAAUAUGGUUUAAAUGCUGCAAACAGAAGUAGAGGUUGGUUUGGUCUCAAGACUGGUCAAAUGGUGUUUGCCCGCAAUUCUGUUAGUUGUCGGUUUGCUUUUUACAAAUGCAGGGAAACUCCUGUUAAGUAUUCUUCAUGAUGUUGCAGACUCCCGCUGUUUCUUUCACAUUAUCAUAAGCAGAUUACAAAUAGCGGGGAACACACCCAUAUGCAGAUAGAGAGGGCUAUUUCUAACUUGCAUUAUAAUGGUCUGCUCUGCUGUAGGCCUACCUAUCGCCACAUCUCACCCAAUUACUCAAAUGUUAAACUUUUCAAUAUUGUG